rnacentral:rRNA from 1 species
AGUGUGCUGGAGGUAUCAGAAGUGCGAAUGCUGACAUGAGUAACGAUAAUGUGGGUGAAAAGCCCACACGCCGGAAGUCCCAGGUUUCCUGCACGACGUUAAUCGGAGCAGGGUGAGUCGGCCCCUAAGGCGAGGCUGAAGAGCGUAGUCGAUGGGAACCAGGUUAAUAUUCCUGGACUUUUUAUAAGUGGUGAAGUGGGGACGAAGAAGGCUAGGUGAGCCAGGCGUUGGUUGUCCUGGUACUUGCAUGUAGGGGGGAAGACUUGGCAAAUCCGGUUUUCCAUAACUCUGAGGUGCGAAGUGGUUCUGACCUUUUGGUACAGAGAAGUCAUUGAUGCCCGGCUUCCAGGAAAAGCUGCUAGCCAUAACUUAUAGAGAACCGUACCGCAAACCGACACAGGUGGACAGGUAGAGAAUACUAAGGCGCUUGAGAGAACUCGGGUGAAGGAACUAGGCAAAAUGGUACCGUAACUUCGGGAGAAGGUACGCCCUUUUGGGUGAGGGCAUUUACUGUCUGAGCUUAAGAGGGCCGCAGAGACCAGGUGGCUGCGACUGUUUAUUAAAAACACAGCACUCUGCAAAUUCGUAAGAAGACGUAUAGGGUGUGACGCCUGCCCGGUGCCGGAAGGUUAAUUGAUGGGGUUAUCUUCGGAGAAGCUCUUGAUCGAAGCCCCGGUAAACGGCGGCCGUAACUAUAACGGUCCUAAGGUAGCGAAAUUCCUUGUCGGGUAAGUUCCGACCUGCACGAAUGGCGUAACGAUGGCCACACUGUCUCCACCCGAGACUCAGUGAAAUUGAAAUCGCUGUGAAGAUGCAGUGUACCCGCGGCUAGACGGAAAGACCCCGUGAACCUUUACUAUAGUUUUGCACUGGACUUUGAUGAUGACUGUGUAGGAUAGGUGGGAGGCUGUGAAGUGAGGACGCUAGUUCUCAUGGAGCCGCCCUUGAAAUACCACCCUGUUGUUAUUGAGGUUCUAACUUGGUCCAGUAAUCCUGGAUGAGGACAGUGUAUGAUGGGUAGUUUGACUGGGGCGGUCUCCUCCCAAAGAGUAACGGAGGAGCACAAAGGUACCCUCGGUACGGUCGGACAUCGUACCAAGAGUGUAAAGGCAAAAGGGUGCUUGACUGCGAGAGUGACGGCUCGAGCAGGAACGAAAGUUGGUCUUAGUGAUCCGGUGGUUCUGAAUGGAAGGGCCAUCGCUCAACGGAUAAAAGGUACUCCGGGGAUAACAGGCUGAUACCGCCCAAGAGUUCAUAUCGACGGCGGUGUUUGGCACCUCGAUGUCGGCUCAUCACAUCCUGGGGCUGAAGCAGGUCCCAAGGGUAUGGCUGUUCGCCAUUUAAAGUGGUACGCGAGCUGGGUUUAGAACGUCGUGAGACAGUUCGGUCCCUAUCUGCCGUGGGCGUAGGAAAAUUGAGAGGAGCUGCUCCUAGUACGAGAGGACCGGAGUGGACGAACCUCUGGUGCACCGGUUGUCACGCCAGUGGCAUGGCCGGGUAGCUAAGUUCGGACGGGAUAACCGCUGAAAGCAUCUAAGCGGGAAGCCUCCCUCAAGAUGAGUUUUCCCAUGAAGCCCGUUGAAGACUACGACGUUGAUAGGCAAGGUGUGGAAGCGCAGUAAUGCGUGAAGCUAACUUGUACUAAUUGGCUGAUUGUCUUGACCA